UUCAAGAACAGCUUAGGCAACAUGGUGAGACCUUGUCUCUAUAAAAAAUAUAAAAAUUAGCCAAGUGUGAUGGUGUGCGCCUAUAGCUGAGUAGUCCCAGCUACCCACGAGGCUGAGGUGGGUGGAUCACCUGAGCCCAGGAGGUCGAGGCUACAGUGAGCUGAGAUUACACCACUGCACUCCAGCCUGGGUGACAGAGCAAGACUCUGUCUCAAAAAAGAAAAAGAAAAAGAAAAGAAAUUUUUAAAAAUGUGAAGGCAAAGCUUUUUUUCUGAUUCCUUUAAAUGGUAUUUUGGCUACGAAAAUGUAACCAUCCCUGAAAAAUGCUCAUGGCCUCAGCCAUUCUCAAAACAUUCCCUCCAUCUUGGUAUUGAGAUAAAUGAGUAACAAGGAAGGCAGCAUUUCUUAAUCGGAAUCACAGUGGACCCAGCAGCAUCUAAGGGGUAGCUGGGGCUUGGGCUCUAGUUGGCUGGGUGACCCUGGACAAGCUGGUAACCUUUCUCAACCAAUAAUAACCAGGUGAUUGGCCGGGCGCGGUGGCUCACGCCUGUAAUCCCAGCACUUUGGGAGGCCGAAGUGGGUGGAUCAUGAGGUCAGGAGAUGGAGACCAUCCUGGCUAACACAGUGAAACCCCGUCUCUACUAAAAAUACAAGAAAAAAAUUAGCCGGGCGUGGUGGCGGGCGCCUGUAGUCCCAGCUACUCAGGAGGCUGAGGCAGGAGAAUGGCGUGAACUCGGGAGGCGGAGCUUGCAGUGAGCGGAGAUCGCGCCACUGCACUCCAGCCUGGGCAACUGAGGAAGACUCUGUCUAAAAAAUAAUAAUAAUAAUAAUAAUAAUAAUAAUAAUAAUAAUAAUAAUAAUAACCAGGUGAUUAUUCCACAGUAAAAUGUAAAAGAUUUUUGGUUGUUGUGAGGUUGAAAUGAAGCAACAUAGGUUAAAAUAUUUAGGCCGGGUACCGUGGCUAGGAUAUAAAAUUGAACCACGUGGUCUGAUUCUAGAGCUCUCCGAAAGAUUGUUCUAAAACUCUGCCCUUCUUUUUGAAGGGGCUUUUAACAUUCUUUAGACUUCACUCUACCAUUCCCUACUUGCAAUACCAUGUUCAGGAUUAUUCUAAAUGAUUCCGAGACUUUCCACAACUAUGUCUAUUUCAAGUCUGUUCUCGGAAGAUGGAACUCCACAGAAGGCGGUUCACAUGAUUUUUAGUCCGAAUCUAUAAAUAAUUGGUGGAUCCAUUUUAGCCCCCAAAACUCCCAUCUGGUUCUCUGUUCACACAAGACACUAGGCCCAAAGCUUGGAAGGAUAGUAAUCCUGCGAGGCAUGAAGAUCGUAGGAUAAUUGUGAUUAUAGUAGAUGCUCCUUGCUUCUGGUUUUUUGUGGACUGUAACUUGGGCUUUCCCAAGGUGAUGUGCACCGGAUCCGCAGGCUGGAUGGAUAGGGUGGGGCAAUCGCCUCUAAGUGGACAUUUAUUUUAUCUUCCCUGUUCAAUUACCCUGUGUGUUUCCAGGCAUUAAAACGCUUGUGGUUCAGGACCAAGAAGGUCUGACCUCCUUCCUGCUCUUAUUGCAGACUUUUUAUAAUUCCUGCCUGUGAGAGAAACAGAAGAACACAGCUUGUUUGGGGGAUCCCAGAUGGAGUUUGCAGGAUGGAUAUUAGAAAAAAAUCAUCUCUUUUGAGUGGUAGACUGAGAAAUUUAAAUUGGAACAGCGAUGAAAAACCAUACACGUCGGGAGAUGGAGUGGGGGUGAGGCAACCCAUGAAGUCAGUUUUGCAUCUGUAAAAAGUCAUUUUGGAGAGUCGAUCUGCACUUUAAGAAUUCCUAAUGGGUACAGUCAGUUCAGACCCAGCUGAAUGUGUUGGAGUCUCUGAUAGUGUUCUUCUAAUUAAAGGGGGGUGGGGAGGGAAACAAUAACAGACACACAAAAACACACACUCAACCAAAGAUGGGGGAAAUGUGAGCACCAGACAUGCUCGUGCUGAUUUGGGGAUGACAGUUGAAGAGACAAGAACAUUUUAAGUGCAGGGAAGGAAGCAAGAACAGCCCCCCAAAACAGGAGAGAAGGGUCAGCAAAGGUAAGUUUAUAAGCAAAACAAAGGGGCGGGGGGCGGGGGGAGUACAGGAGAGAAUAAAAGAAGCAAAACCAAGUAAGCAAAACCCACCGUGACUUAUUAGGAAUGUUUAAUUUGAAAUUGUGAUCCCUACAAUUACUGAAAAGGGAGCAGUUAGAAAGGAAGGCAUGUUGAUUGUGACAGGGCAGGAAGAACCUGAGAAAUCUCUGACAUUCGAGUGCCUUUUUUUAAACUGCCUUUGUUCCCAAGUUCCUAUUUUGCAUCUGGUUAAAUGCAUAUUAAUUUCUCUUCCUUCCUAAUGAAUCACUGUGUGUUCUGUGUCUUCUUUAUGAAGAGGAAAGGGGUGUCUUCCCUGCUUGCUCCCUCAGCUCAAACUUUUCAUCUUGAUCCUAUAGGAGUGAUGAGACAUUAAAUGGGGUAAUCUGGAAAAGGGGAUGGAAUGUGAACUGAAGACUUUUGAGUGUAGGAGUUAGAAGUCAAUCACUUUGCUAGCUAUCAGACUGUUUCAUCGUUGAAGAGGAGGCUAGAGCAUUUACUUUAGUUAAAAAAAAAAAAAAACCCUCCCUGACACCCCAGGUCUUCCCAGAUCCCUAUCUCAUAAACUCAUUUUAUUUACCCAGAACCCCCCAAACAAACCUGGACUUGAAAUCAUCUUUUUCUUUGCGCGUUCCUGAGAGUGACUGGCAGUGCAGCCACAGAACUGGCAAGUUCUGUUGGAGGAAUUAUAUUCAGGCCCAUUCACGAUGCACGUUAACUUUGUGGGUGGAAAGAAACCUGGAGGAGAGAGAGGAAACAAGCCUUAAAGCCUCCAAAAAUUGGCAGGCAGACUUCCGGAAUGAGGCUUCUCCAAGGAAUCUUCUCCUAGAAUUAAACCUAGGACUGAAAUACAUUUGCAAAUGAUUGGGCUUAAAAGUGGGGUUGGGUUUCCUUGUGUCAUGCCGGUAUGGGCCCAGAGAGUUUUGUGGGUUUUUUUGGAAAUGAAGAGGGAGAAAUAAAUGAUGCACAAUGAGAAUGCAGAGCCGAAAAUUCUGGACCACACAUCAUUUACUUAGAACAGACUUUCCCUCUGAUAUUCUUCCCAAAUAUGUCAUGGCAUUCACAAAGAACACUGCUUCUGAAAUGUCGGAUUAUGCAGUAAUAGUCACUGAACGAGAACAUGAAUGUCUUUAAAAAAAUUAAUCAGUUGUCUUUAAGGUGUGUGUGGCUGCUCAAAAUCCUCUCUGUAGUGUCUCAUCUUUAGCAGACCUCACGUGGAAACAGCUUUCUUGUUUACAGACCACCACACUGACACAUUAUCUGCUGUGAUUAAUUAAAGACGAUUUUUAAACCCAUAUAUUUCUUUAAAAGGCAGAAGAGACAGCCCAGCUUUUUAAAAAUGGUGGUCAUAAACUACCAUCAGAUGGCACUGUAACAUAAAUUAUGGAAAGAGUCAGCUAU
rnacentral:lncRNA from 10 species